ensembl:lncRNA
GUCACUUACAGUGAGGUUGAUGUGAUCAGUUCCAGUGAGGUUGUCGUGAUCAGUUCCAGUGAGGUUGUCGUGAUCAGUUCCAGUGAGGUUGACGUGUUCAGUUCCAGUCAGGUUGAUGUGGACAAUUCCAAUGAGGUUGAGGUGGUCACUUCCAUGAGGAGGAUAUGGUCAGUUCCAAUGAGGUUGAGGUGGUCAGUUCCAGUCCCUUAGUUCCUGACACGUUUGUGUGAUCCCUGAUAGUCACGCUCUCACUGCUCCUUAGACAUGUGGUCGCAUGGAACUCAGCACCCCGAAUACCACAACUUACUCUCUCUCUCUCUCUCUGUCUCUCUCUCUCUGUCUUUCUCUCUCUCUCUCUCUCUGUCUCUCUCUCUGUCUCUCUGUCACUAUCUGUCUCUCUCUUUAUCUCUUCACCGCCCUCCCCACACACAUACCCUUCAAUACACCAUCAGACAUGCAAGAGUUAUUUAAAUAACAGGGUUGGGC